UCUCACUCGCCAUCACCGAGGGAGAAAAGGAUGAAGUGGGAAGGUCUCCGUCUUAGCAAAACAGCUGCCGCAGACUUGAAAGGCGAGUGGCAAGGUAGAGAGGUCUGACUGAGAUCACAGGCACUUCUGGCUGAUAGGAUCUCCGGGAAGUGAAGACAAGCAACAAAUGACUCCAUUGAGGUCAUCUGAGGGAAGCUGGAGUUCUUAGCUGUCAUCUCGAGAGAGCUCGGCUAAUUUUAUCCUGCUGGGGAAGAAAGCCCUGUGAAAUUUUGCUGGAAGGCUCGGUUACAAUUGCUGUUUCCUGGGAAGGGUUUGGUGACACGCUCGUUGCUCAAGAAAGUAAGAUCUUCCCACUGGAAAUGUCAAUACUCCCAGUGUGCCGAC